rnacentral:rRNA from 1 species
GAUCCUGGCUCAGGAUGAACGCUGGCGGCGUGCCUAACACAUGCAAGUCGAACGAAGCGAUUUAACGGAAGUUUUCGGAUGGAAGUUGAAUUGACUGAGUGGCGGACGGGUGAGUAACGCGUGGGUAACCUGCCUUGUACUGGGGGACAACAGUUAGAAAUGACUGCUAAUACCGCAUAAGCGCACAGUAUCGCAUGAUACAGUGUGAAAAACUCCGGUGGUACAAGAUGGACCCGCGU